rnacentral:tRNA from 1 species
UAGAGUGAUAAUACUCCGGUUUCGGCCCGGACAAAGAUAUUUUAUAUAUCCACCCUGU